UACGUAGGGGGCAAGCGUUGUCCGGAAUCAUUGGGCGUAAAGAGCGUGUAGGCGGCCCGGUAAGUCCGCUGUGAAAGUCCAGGGCUCAACCCUGGGAUGCCGGUGGAUACUGUCGGGCUCGAGUCCGGAAGAGGAGUGUGGAAUUCCUGGUGUAGCGGUGAAAUGCGCAGAUAUCAGGAGGAACACCAAUGGCGAAGGCAGCACUCUGGGACGUGACUGACGCUGAG
rnacentral:rRNA from 1 species